rnacentral:rRNA from 1 species
GACGAACGCUGGCGGCGUGCUUAACACAUGCAAGUCGAACGGAAAGGCCCUGCUUUUGUGGGGUGCUCGAGUGGCGAACGGGUGAGUAACACGCGAGUAUACUGCCCCUGACUUUGGGAUAACUUCAGGAAACUGGGGCUAUUACAGGAUAGGAGCUCCUGCUGCACGGUGGGGGUUGGAAAGUUUCGGCGGUUGGGGAUGGACUCGCGGCUUAUCAGCUUGUUGGUGGGGUAGUGGCUUACCAAGGCUUUGACGGGUAGCCGGCCUGAGAGGGUGACCGGCCACAUUGGGACUGAGAUACGGCCCAGACUCCUACGGGAGGCAGCAGUGGGGAAUAUUGCACAAUGGGCGGAAGCCUGAUGCAGCAACGCCGCGUGCGGGAUGACGGCCUUCGGGUUGUAAACCGCUUUCGCCUGUGACGAAGUGUGAGUGACGGUAAUGGGUAAAGAAGCACCGGCUAACUACGUG